GCCGCCGGGGAUGGCGCCGUGCGGCUCGGGUGCGCCUCCCCAAGGCCAGCGUCCAGCACCUCGUCGAGGGCAGCUGUGAUGCCACUGACUCUCCGGGGCUCGCCACCGGCUGCUCGACGCUGAGGAGGUGCACCGCCUCGGCGUGCAUGCAUCCCCACUCGACCCGGAUGCGGCGGCAUCGGCACUGCUGCUCGCGUCCCCCGCGCGGCCGGCCGUGAAGGCCGCCGGGGAUGGCUCCGUGCAGAUCCGAGUGUGUCGAGUUGGACCAGAGCUGGCACCGCUCCGCCGACGCCUCCUCGGCUCGCCGCCGCCGUGGCCGGAGCUCGCCCGGCACCACCGCCUGCAGGGGCACACAAGGAGGAAGCGGAAAUGUGGAGUGGAGGUAGAAGAAUUGCCUGACCAGCGGGGCCCGUAUGGAAGUGAGAGGAGUUUAGAUGGGCCUUGACGAUCUGCUGAGCUGGCGGGGUGAAAUGAGAUGGGAUGACCUUUUUAGAGUUGUGGAGUGGAGCCACAAAAUAUCUAAACAGAAUAGACUUAAAGUGGUGGAGUGGAGUGGAGUUGGUGGAGUAGAGUCGGUGGAGUGGAGUGGCUAUUUUAGAAGUGAAGUGCUCCCAAACAUGCCCAUAACAUAGUGAAACUGUAUUUAUCUACCUCUAAUAAAGUUGCAGUGUCAGCGUUGAGGUCGCGUGCCUCCGCAUCAUCCUCUCAACAUCGUGUGCCCUCGUGACCGAUCGUGAAGGAGCUGAUGACCUUGCCCCACGCAUCGUCCUCUCCUGUGCAGGCCUUUCCAAUGCUGCCAACUGUGGCGUCAGGAUCUUAGACUGGAGUCGACUGUUGGAUUAGAAUCAGAAAGGUGCAUGUCAUGGGUCUGCUCAUUUGUUUUGACGAAAAUAAUAUGAAGUAAUUUCUUGUUUUGGUUGACAUGAUCACUAAGUAUCAGCACAUAGAACAUGUAUAAACUUAUGAUGCUAUGACAAGUUAAUAUAAUUUUGAGUGUAUGUGAUCUUGA